rnacentral:rRNA from 1 species
UACAGAGGGUGCGAGCGUUGUUCGGAAUUACUGGGCGUAAAGCGCGCGCAGGCGGCUUUCUAAGUCCGUCGGUGAAAGACCGGGGCUCAACCCCGUGUCAGCCAUGGAUACUGGGAGGCUGGAGACAGGUAGAGGCAAGCGGAAUUCCGGGUGUAGCGGUGGAAUGCGUAGAUAUCCGGAAGAACACCGGAGGCGAAGGCGGCUUGCUGGACCAGAACUGACGAUCAGGCACGAAAGCGUGGGGAGCAAACAGG